rnacentral:rRNA from 1 species
UACCAGCACCCCGAGUGGUCGGGACGAUUAUUGGGCCUAAAGCAUCCGUAGCCGGUCCUGCAAGUCUUCCGUUAAAUCCAGCUGCUCAACAGAUGGGCCUGCGGGGGAUACUACAGGGCUAGGAGGCGGGAGAGGCAAGCGGUACUUUAUGGGUAGGGGUAAAAUCCGUUGAUCCAUAGAAGACCACCAGUGGCGAAGGCGGCUUGCCAGAACGCGCUCGACGGUGAGGGAUGAAAGCUGGGGGAGCAAACCGG